rnacentral:rRNA from 1 species
CCCGUGUUUACUGUACCUUAGUUGCUUCGGCGGGCCCGCCAUUCAUGGCCGCCGGGGGCUCUCAGCCCCGGGCCCGCGCCCGCCGGAGACACCACGAACUCUGUCUGAUCUAGUGAAGUCUGAGUUGAUUGUAUCGCAAUCAGUUAAAACUUUCAACAAUGGAUCUCUUGGUUCCGGCAUCGAUGAAGAACGCAGCGAAAUGCGAUAACUAGUGUGAAUUGCAGAAUUCCGUGAAUCAUCGAGUCUUUGAACGCACAUUGCGCCCCCUGGUAUUCCGGGGGGCAUGCCUGUCCGAGCGUCAUUGCUGCCCAUCAAGCACGGCUUGUGUGUUGGGUCGUCGUCCCCUCUCCGGGGGGGACGGGCCCCAAAGGCAGCGGCGGCACCGCGUCCGAUCCUCGAGCGUAUGGGGCUUUGUCACCCGCUCUGUAGGCCCGGCCGGCGCUUGCCGAACGCAAAUCAAUCUUUUUCCAGGUUGACCUCGGAUCAGGUAGGGAUACCCGCUGAACUUAAGCAUAUCAAUAAGCCGGAGGAAAA